AAAAAGAAAAACAAGGAAAACCAAUAAAGUAUAUUUUUUCUAUUUUAUUUUUUUUUUUUUUUAUA
rnacentral:ribozyme from 12 species